rnacentral:lncRNA from 1 species
UUACAAAUCUCUCUCUCUCUCAAAGAAAGGAUUUCUUGUGUACCUUUUCCUGGUACCUCCAUGAGGCAAUACUUAAUGUGCCACUUUUCCAGCUUCUAAAUCAUUGCCAUCCUCACAAAAGCCACGGUUACUUUAGUAGUCAUGCAUAAAAGAAUAUGUAUGCAAGCAUAUCAUAGCAACAAAAGAUCAACAUCAACUGAUUGAAUCAACUGUACAACCCAUAAUCUGAGUAUCAUACAGCACAGGAUCAAAAAUAUUAAUUAUUAAACAACACCAAUGCUUGAAGGAACACCAAUCAAGCAAUAUAUGAAACAAAAGCAUGUGAUAUUUUGUGUGCGUGCGUGUGUG